CCUACGGGUGGCAGCAGUGGGGAAUAUUGCACAAUGGGGGAAACCCUGAUGCAGCGACGCCGCGUGAGUGAAGAAGUAAUUCGUUACGUAAAGCUCUAUCAGCAGGGAAGACAUCCUGACCUUACGGUCAUCAUCCGGUAACUGAGUCAGAAGCCCCGGCUAACUACGUGCCAGCAGCCGCGGUAAUACGUAGGGGGCAAGCGUGAUCCGGAUUUACUGGGGGUAAAGGGAGCGUAGACGGUGCGCCAAGUCUGGAGUGAAAGGCCGCAGCUUAACUGCGGAACUGCUGUGGAAACUGUCGAACUAGAGUGCGGGAGGGGUAAGCGGAAUUCCUAGUGUAGCGGUGAAAUGCGUAGAUAUUAGGAGGAACACCGGUGGCGAAGGCGGCUUACUGGACCGUAACUGACGUUGAGGCUCGAAAGCGUGGGGAGCAAACAGGAUUAGAUACCCGUGUAGUC
rnacentral:rRNA from 1 species